rnacentral:rRNA from 1 species
AGCGUAUAUUAAAGUUGUUGCAGUUAAAAAGCUCGUAGUUGAAUUUCGGGGUCAGUAGGUCGGUCGUGCCACUGGUAUGAACUGGUUUUACUGAUUCCUCCCUCUUGAAGAACUGUAAUGCCAUUAAUUUGGUGUUGCAGGGAAUCAGGACUGUUACUUUGAAAAAAUUAGAGUGUUUAAAGCAGGCUUUAGCUUGAAUACAUUAGCAUGGAAUAAUGAAAUAGGACGUUUGAUCCUAUUUUGUUGGUUUCUAGGAUUGACGUAAUGAUUAAUAGGGAUAGUUGGGGGCAUUAGUAUUCAAUUGUCAGAGGUGAAAUUCUUGGAUUUAUUGAAGACUGACUACUGCGAAAGCAUUUGCCAAGGAUGUUUUCAUUAAUCAAGAACGAAAGUUAGGGGAUCGAAGACGAUCAGAUACCGUCGUAGUCUUAACCAUAAACUAUGCCGACUAGGGAUCGGAUGAUGUUAAUUUUUUAAUGACUCAUUC